UGUAAACUGAUGUAAACUCAGAUGAAAAGUAUAAGCAGUGAGUUUAACAGUCCUGAUCCAACUGUAUGUUUGUUUGGUGUCGCCUGGUUACACAUGUUUGCUGCUCUGGCUCAGGUGACUGAACUCAGAUGAGCAGGGGAGGAUUCAGUGUCAUUUCUCAGUCAUCCAGAUCAUCAUGAGAGUUUCUCGAAGACAAAUGAGCUUCUCAUCAAAGAGGCUUUCAAGAGGCUUCCUCAGUUCAAAACCAAAAAGCCUCCUGGAUGAGAUGGUGAAUCAUCUUCAAGAACCAAAAAGACAAGUAAAAGUCUUAGAGUACAAACCUUACUUAAGUAAAAGUAUAUAUGUUUUUUAUCACCAAAACAUAUUUGGAGCACACAAGUAAAAAUAUCCAUUAGAUACCAAAAUGGGAUCUGUCAGUGUUUAGUUUUGUAAUGUGAUGCUACGUUGCUAUACUAGUGGAUUAUUAUUACUGAUGCAUUAAUACCCUCUGAACCCCAAGCAGUUUAUGGGUGUUUUUGGGUCCUGUCACACUUUUACCUGCUGUAGAUUCCACUGCAAUAUAAAGUUGUGACUUCUCUAGAAACAGCACAAUCUCGGCUAAAUGUGAGAGAAUGCAAAAAUGUAUUUUGGGCAGUAAAACAAGUUACAGUGCCACAAAUCAUAAAAAAUAAAAGCUAAAUUUCUUAAUUUAUUUGACAAAAAUUGAAAAAAACCUUCAAUCAACAUGUGAAGCAUAUUUUUCAUGUGUCCACAGGUGUUACCAAACUGUACAGAAAAGUAUUUUAAUGACAUAUUUAAUUAGUUUCUCCUAUCUACUCUGUCUAAACACAGCCUGCAGUCCCAGAAAUCUUGUCAUGUCACAGUUGGUUGGAGGUGAGUCGCUCAGGACUUCACAGUUGCACAGAAGGAGCAUAGAAGUUUUGGUUUAAUUUAAGAAUCUGGUUUGAGCAAGGGGCUGCACAGUGAUGUAGUGGUUAGCACUUUCGCCUUACACCUAGAAGAUCCCCGGUUCGCAUCCCUGCCUCCUCACGUCCCAGGAUCUUUCUGCAUUGAGUUUGCAUGACUCUGGCUUCCAAAAACAUGCUGAGGUUAAUUGGUGAUUUCACAUUGUCCAUCGGUGUGAAUGUGAGUGUGAGUGUUUGUCUCUAUGUGUAGUGCUGUGAUAGACUAGUCCAGGGUGUCCACUGUCUUUGCCCUGAGUCAGCUGGGACACACUCCAGCACCCAUUACCCUAAUGAGGAUUAAGCGGUGUACAGAUAAUGGAUGGAUGGAUGUUUACUAAAAGUACCAAUAAAUGAAUGUAAGAAAUAUUCAUUUUCAAGUACAAUUUCUGCAUCCAAAGCCCCAUUUAGCAAGAAAUACAGAAGUGAUACUAUGGAAGCAAAUCAGACUCAUCAGAUUCUGAAUUUUAAAAGCUGCUGAAUUUCUUACUUUGAAUUUUUUUGCAUCAAAAUUAUAUAUGUGAAUUUUUUAUGCCUGAAUUUAGCUCAUCAAAAUUCUAAAAACCAGUUAAAAAUUCAAUGUCUUCAAAAUUCACCAUCAAAAAAUUCAAUGUUCAAAAUUCACCAUCAAAAAAUUCAAAGUUCAAAAUUCGCUGUCAAAAAAUUCGCUGUUCACAUCCGGGGGACUCAGGCGUAAACAAUCGAUCCUGGCCAAAAUCGAACCAACGCCCAGCCAAUCACGUGGCACUCCUCCGGUCAUGUGACGCAGACGGUUCACCUCACAAGACCGGGGUCAACCACGGCUACCAGCAUGAACGACGGCGCUUCAUAAGGCAGCAUCAGGAGACGAACAUGGAGGAAAUAUGAGAACAGAGAGAACCCAACCAGCAGGUCACAGUUUAUCAUCAUCUAAUCAUCUCCUGAAGUCCAUAUGCACUGGAACACAUCUCCAAAGUUCUGCCGGGCCAGCUCAGCUUCCCCUCAGAAGAAGUGCUGCCACCUGCCAGAUGAAGGAGCCUUUUGAGAGGCAGCUGGCAUCGUGAUUGGACUGUACUUUGGUCUGUUCCAAUCCAGCUUCAGCUCCAGAGACGGCAGGCGGGACGAGUCAACGGAGGCCGGGUGGACGAAGGCAUGCAGCUGAGUACAAUCCAGAAAACAACAGAGGAGGAGUGCAGCGGCCCAGAGCCAGAACAGAGUAGCAUCGUAUGUCUCUUAGAAAACAUCAUAGUAUAGCCUCUGGUAUGAAAAAACACCAUCAUAUACAUCGUAUAUUGUACAAAUAACAAGUCAAAGGAAAGAGACAUACAUUGUAGAAUUGUAGUAAUUGUGGGCUGACUGAUUUACUGAUUAUCAGUAUUUUAUUGUUUUUACUGAUUUAUGGUAAUAAAUACAUUUAAAAAUGGCGCUACUUUGGCUCUGAACCUUUAUCUACCUGUGGUCGCUCUGUCUUCUGGAGUGAUUUGAUUGGUUAUACGUCACGAAUAAAACUCCUUUAACUUAACAUCUGUAAACAAAACAAAAACGUAUCAACAAAGUUUUCUGUUAGAGUUUGUGUUCUUCUAAGUUUAACUCCAAGAUUUUAAAUACUUUCAUUUACUGCAAAUGAAUAUCUACUCCAAAUGUCUCACUAAUAAUCAUUAUCAGCCUUAAAAACCCACAAAACACCCCUCUAUACUCGACCACACUUAGUACAGUCCGGUUCCCCCUUCUAUAAAUCUGCUUGGAAUCUUCCACUUCCUGUUUGUCAAAGUGGCCUUCUACCUGGACAGGUUUUGUUGGAGCUCAUGCAACAAACAUUUUGGGUAACUGCACUUUAAUAUGGAUGGAUGAUACUGAAUUAGAGUCUGUUUUAAUGAGACUGAGUUAAGAUGUGUAGCUCUGUCAUUAAAUAGGAAAUUAUUUCUCAGAAUUCACAGAGAAAAGUCUGAAAUGUUUGCUAGGUUAGCGUCCCACAUGUUCUUUGGCUCAGCUAAAGCUAACUCUCUCCAACUUCUGGAUCUCUUGAGUUGCUUGUUGUUAAAAUAUCUUGCUAGAGGUGCUGAAGCUCAGAAAGUCUGAGGUGUUUGUUCAAAAUAAGCUCAUUCUCAAGUCUGAUCUGAA